rnacentral:rRNA from 1 species
GAAUAUUGGACAAUGGGCGAAAGCCUGAUCCAGCCAUGCCGCGUGUGUGAAGAAGGUCUUCGGCUUGUAAAGCACUUUCAGUUGGGAGGAAGGGCAGUAAGCGAAUACCUUGCCGUUUUGACGUUACCGACAGACGAAGCACCGGCUAACUCUGUGCCAGCAGCCGCGGUAAUACAGAGGGGGCAAGCGUUAAUCGGAAUUACUGGGCGGAAAACGGGCGUAGGUGGUGCGUUAAGUUGGAUGGGAAAGCCCCGGGCUCAACCUGGGAACUGCAGCCAAAACUGGCGAGCUAGAGUAGGGCAGAGGGUGGUGGAAUUUCCUGUGUAGCGGUGAAAUGCGUAGAUAUAGGAAGGAACACCAGUGGCGAAGGCGACCACCUGGGCUCAUACUGACACUGAGGUGCGAAAGCGUGGGGAGCAAACA